CAAUGCUUUCUCUUUCCGCUGACUCACGGAUGGUGGCAAAUGCCUUCUGGGGGUGGUUCCAGCAGUGGGAAGAAAACAACUGGCAGCGGAGGGGUAAACCUCUUUGGGCUGCUGAGCUGUGUGCUGAACCAUAAGGAAGGUGGCUGUAAAGGUGUGCCGUGCAGAUGUCGUGUGCCCAGCAGUCGGGCCGAUGAAGAGCAACAAAUGAAGCGCCAGAUGGCUUCUCGCCUCCUGGGUGCCCUUGCCUCUUUCCUUGCCAUGGCCUUGAGGCUUUUCCUCAGCUGGCUGGCUGAUCCGUG
ensembl:lncRNA